GGAUCAUUAUUGAAUUAAAAACAAUUAGUUGGAGACUGUUGCUGGUCCUUUUUUUGGGGGGGGCAUGUGCACGUCUCUUGCUUGUUGGUUUUUUCCACCUGUGCAUGAUUUGUAGAUUCCUAGGAUUGAGGGACUUUUAAAUAAGGCUCUUGUUAAUUAUCUUAGGUGUCUAUGUGAUUUUUUUUUUUAAAUAAAUUACAACAAAUAUAUACAGAAUGUGGAUUGAUAAAUUUAAAUACAACUUUCAACAAUGGAUCUCUUGGCUCUCGCAUCGAUGAAGAACGCAGCGAAAUGCGAUAAGUAAUGUGAAUUGCAGAAUUCAGUGAAUCAUCGAAUGUUUGAACGCAUCUUGCGCUCCUUGGUCCUCUGAGGAGCAUGCCUGUUUGAGUGUCAUUAAAUUAUCAAAAUGCAUUACCUUGAAUUGGAGGGUAGUGGUUUUGGACUAUUGGGAGUUGCAGGUUCUGUUGAUGGGGCCAGCUCUCCUCAAAUGCAUUAGCAAAGCGUUAGAUUUAGUGCUUUAUUGGUGUGAUAAAGAUAAUUUUCAUCACCAGAAUGGGCACUUAACUAGAGAUUUGUUUAUUAUGUUUUGAAGUGUUUUUAACGCUUUUUUUAAAGAAAGUUGACCUCAAAUCAGGUAGGAUU
rnacentral:rRNA from 1 species